AUACAAUACACAAAUACAUAAAUUCAGCCUUGUAGGACAACUUGAAUCAACUUUAAAUUAACUUAUCAAGCAAAUACACCAUCUUGUUAAUAAAAUUAUAAAUUUUUUGUUAUUCAAUAUGCAUGGAAAGGAUUAAGAUUUUGAUCAAAGUAGUAGUGCUUAUAGCAAAGUUUGCCUCUAAUCUAAUUUUUCUUUUCGCAUAAAUAUUAUUCUAUAUAUUUGAAUUAAUCUAGUCUAGUUAAAUUAAUAAAAGUUUUGUCGAAGUCCUCUUCAAUCGUUGAUUUUAGAAUAAUCAAUGACUGUCAUUGUCAAGUUACAAGAGCGCAAUGUACGUUAUGCUAAAGUGUUACGCCGCUUGAUAUCAAUUGGAACGAUAAUCGUUUCAUUAUUGCUGGUUGCAAACAUGAGAUUGCUUCUCAUAAAUCUCAUAGCAUUAAGCGUCACGCUAAUCCACGCUGAUUGAUGCACUUCGAACACGGAAAAAGGUUACGGAAGAUCGCUGCCGAAGGAACGAAUUGAAUUGAUUGGACACCUUAUUCACCUUAUCUUAACAAUACUUAACAAUGCCACUCUAUGAAUUAUGAUACACGUGUCUGUUUAAAAUUGGAAAAGAUACUUGGUCGAAUCGAAACACUCCAAUAACUUGGGCGGCAUGAUAGUUGAUACGACAAGGAUGAGAAUGAUUCUCGGAUGUACCUAUUUCAAAAACUGAAAAUGACAACAAAAAUCGGUAAAUAUCGGUAAAUAGCCGAUCUUGAAUUAUUAAAGAAAAAUAGAACAACAUAGAAAUGUAAACAUUCAAAUCUAAGAUAACGCAGUUAAUUUAACUUAAAUUUGUCAUUUUAUUUAAUUUCCACAGGAUUAAUAAAGGUUAGGUUAAGUUAAUUUAGGUUAGAUUACGUUGAAUUCAAUAAAAUUUUAUUUUAAAUUUAGAGUAUAUGAUUACAUAAACAUGGUAGAAACAUAUUUCUAUACGAAAAUCUCACAUUUUUUAUUUAUAUGUACGUAUUUAAUUUAUUAUUUGAAAAUCAAAAAUUAUGGCGCUUUUUUGGAUUUCCUGCAUUAUCUUUUUGUCGGAAAACGUAUAAUUAAAAAAUUAUUUAAAGAAAAGAGUGCACUUGAUGCCAAAUUAGUAUCUAUUUUAAAUAAAUUUGAAUUUUUUUCUCUUUCAUAAAUUAGAGCAGCCACUGUUAAUCGCACAAGUUUUCUUUAAAGUGCACUAUCCUUUAAAAUUACAUUUUUUAACUUUUAAGUACAAAACAAUGUAAUACUAAAUAUGCCUUAAUAUUAAAUGUAAGGAAAAAUAUUCGUAAAAAAAAAAAAUAAAAGAUAACAUUGGUAUAUAUACAUAUAAAAUAAGAUAUAAAUAUGUAUAUAUAUAGAAUAGAAAAUGUUCUGAAAAACAUAUUCCAAAAAUAGAUCAAGGAAACUACUGAAUGUUCUGUUGAGGAUAAUGUUAUAUAUAUUGCAUUACUACUCAUACAUUUUACUUAUUUACAUUAUGCUGAUUACAACUAUCUUUUAUAUCUUCCUAUUCAAUUAUCUCAGAUCACAUUAAAUAUAAUUGAGUAAGUAAAUUAAAUGUGAUCAAAUCAUUUUCAUAACUGUAGUUUCUCUGAUUACAUUGCUCUGAUAAUAUUGCAACAUUGAAUUAUAUAAUUCUUUUUUUUUCUGUACA